UACGGAGGGGGCUAGCGUUGUUCGGAAUUACUGGGCGUAAAGCGCACGUAGGCGGCUUUGUAAGUUAGAGGUGAAAGCCCGGAGCUCAACUCCGGAACUGCCUUUAAGACUGCAUCGCUAGAAUUGUGGAGAGGUGAGUGGAAUUCCGAGUGUAGAGGUGAAAUUCGUAGAUAUUAGGAAGAACACCAGUGGCGAAGGCGGCUCACUGGUCCGGUACUGACGCUGAGGAGCGAAAGCCAGGGGAGCAAACGGG
rnacentral:rRNA from 1 species